GUGGCAGUGCGUGGCCGAUGGUUACGCUGUCCGCUUUGUAAGCGGAUGAUUCUGGGUUCGAUUCCCAUCUGCUCCA
rnacentral:tRNA from 1 species